CUGCCCGGAGCUCUGUGGAGAAGUGCCCUCGGUCCCGUCUUUGCGUCUUUUAGGCUCCGCGCUGACUGACAGGAAAGCUCGAGGCCCAAAGUGAAUGUGAUUUUUAUUGUAUAUCGGUUCUGGCUGUUCUGGGAAACUGCGAUACGCAUGCUCAAAGGACUUUAAGGGAGGUUGCAGAAGCAGGCUGCAGACUACGCUGCUGUUUUUGUUGCCUGGCUACUGUUCAGCAGGUGCACACCUCAGCUGGCAGCGUAUGAUCUUUGCUCCCAGGCAACAAGGCUCAACAUGAACUGUAUGAACCACACGUAAGCCUCAUAUUUCCCCAAAGUUUUAUGAAAUGCUGUUACCUAGCCAAAUAGAUGCGUGUUUGCACGAAUCACUGCCUGAAUUAGCUGUUUUUUGUCUGCAAACAUGUUUUCUCUGGGGAAAAGUCUUCAGUCAAAUCAACCUGAUAGUAAACAAAUCUGGCGAGGAUGAUUAGAGGUAACAGAUCGGGGAGAAAGCAAAAGGUUGUGCUCGAGGUAUUGAGCAUCUGCACACAGGACUGAUUUAUGCAGAGCAUGGAGAGUUUUAAAAAGCAGCUUAUUUGUUAAGUAAAAAGAAACGAUCCAAAACAAAGAUAGUUUCAUGGCUCUAACGUGUUAAGGCUUCUAGCUCUCAGUCUUUGUUGCAUACAGCUGUACUCAGAGGAGCACAGAAGGUGGCACAGGACUGUAAACUGCCAGUGGUAUGUUUGGAAGGGACACCUGAGAUUCUUUGUUUUGACCUCCCACAAAGCCAAAGAACUUUCACAGAUUAAUACACACUUGAACCAGGACAUAACUAGUUAGGAAUGCCCCAGCUUUGAUUUUUAAUGUGGCAAGAGAUAGAAAAUCCAAAGGUCUACAUGACUUGCUCCAAAGGUUAGUUGCCUCACAGCUAAGAAAAAACCCAAACUCCUUAGGUAUCUUAGAUUUUUCCAUCUGUAACUUUCUGCCUCUGGGUUCUACGUUCCUCAGCUUUCUGAAUCAAAUUGUUCUAUGCUACCAGCUGAAACACCUCAUGGAAAGCUGUCACACCAACAGUAUGAUGGUUAUCAGUGAAAUCUGUAGUCCUAUCAAGAAAAAAACAGGUAUCCCAACUAAAUUAAAAAAAAAAAUCAAUACUGAUUGCUACACAAUGGAUGCUGCUUGCUGCUGUUAGCACCAACCAGAUCACCCAGGUGCAUGGGUGAGUCCAGGAGCUAACAGUCACAAAUACAGUUCGCUGUGACACUGAAAAGGCCAGCACUUGGAACUGUACCUUUUCAGUGCUAGUUCCAACCAGCUUUUUUGUGUUUCUUACUCCAGGAGUUUGCUUUUUUCCUUCUUCUAGAGCACUCAGUGCAAAUUAGAAAGUCUCAGGUUUCUGGAAAAGUUUUUAGGUGAGACAAACGCACUUAGUCUUGUAACUGUUUUCUAAACACUCCACAAGUGGGUCCAAAAAGAGCCCCAGACUUCUCAGUGCCAGUGCUAUGCCAUGUUGCAUGGCAGCACCCUGGACCAAAAAAAGAGCCAGCACUGUGUGGUGGCACUGAUGUAAUCUACUGAAUAUCCUAGAGCGUAUAUCAUGCCAGCAGUAAAUGCCACUUGGGCAGACUUAGAUUGGUGUACUUUCUUUACAAAGGGAAGGCCUCCAUUGGUCCCACUGAAGCAUUAAGCUUUGUACUAAAUAUGGCUCGUAUCUCAAGUGGCAAAGUGUGGCAAGACGUACUCCUUCACAUUGUUUCGCUGUGACACAAGUAAAACAUCUUGCUAUCUAAUCCAAAGCAGAAGUGUAACAAGAUCAGCUGUCAGCAGCACUGCAGGAAGCACAGCCAGGAGCACAAAGCACAAAACAGGCAGGGCUUGCUACAGAGAAAUGGUUUCUGAGAUACGUCACAUUCACCAUGGGUUCAUAGGACACACAAAGGAAGCUCCUGCAAAGCAGCUGAUGUCAAUUCAUCCUCUGCUGGAACAGCUGCUGUCUGCUGGGACAGCACAUCCAGUUCAAGGGGCACCUUGACAAACUGGUGAGGAUUUAGAAGAAAACCAGGGACUGUUCAAGGGCUGGAAGACACUCCUUGUAGUGAGGACUGAGGGUGCAGCUAGUGCACGUUUACUUGUGAGUGUUCUUGUGACAAUAGCUUAGAUUUGCCAAAGAUCACAAAGAAGCCUGAAGACAAAUCACAGGCACGAUGUUCACUUGUGAGAGCUCAGGUAUUACUCAGGGAUUCACUGCUUAAUCUAAGAAGCAGCUCUUGUAAGAUGAAUCAGUCCUUAUCAAAUGCCCUUAUGUUUUCUGUAUAAACCAGCGUUGUGCAGGAAUAGAAUUAUUAGCUAACAGUGCACCAGGCUGUGCGUUCAGUGUGUUAUUUCAAAAGAAGUUUGCAGUGAAUUGCCAUCACUGUAAAAUCACAGCUGUGACACUGCUCCUGUUCUGCUUUGACUUGCAUUCCAUCUUGGAUGAUGGCCAGAAAUAAACACUUCAGAGGAGGAUUUCUGAUCAUUUUCAGUGCUAGAGAUCAGCAAAAAUAACGGAUUAUCUGGCUUUCUGAUCCCUACAAAAAUUGCUCCAUUAUAAUUCUCGGCAGUUUAUUGCCAUGUACAAAUCCAACCUCUUUUUGAAUCUUAGUAGAUCUCCAUUUUAAAAGGAAUCCUUUGACAAGAAAAAUUAGCAGCUAAGUCAAGCAUUCAGCACAAAGCAGAGGAAAAGCAACCCUUCACAUUUACCGUUGUCUUAUCAGCUACUGUAUCAAGCCUGUUUCUGCAGAUUAUUGAAAUGGCUGAGCAGUUGCUCCAAAAAGAGGAUUACCAUAGAAAACAUGAAACAUUUAUGACAUUCAUAUUCUGAAAUUAACAUAAUCACCAGGAUUCAGCUGCUGAUGCAGCCCAUCAAGCAUGCCCCUGUGACAAGACACAGCUGCUCAGAGCUGUUCUGUUGCUUCCUCUCAACAUGCCACUCAACCACACAGUAUUUUCCUCCCAUUCUAUUCUUGCCCAGUGUAUCUGAGGACUCCCAUGGCUGCCAAACUGUUCCGUCUCCUUUAUUUAUCUAUUCGUUGAAUUUGAGUUCAACUUUGUUUUUGCAUUCUGAAUUAUACUGACCAUUGUCAGUGCUUAAUGAAUAGAUGCUGGUGAAAAUCAAAGGGCUUUUCCACUCAAGCUCACGCACAGACCCUCUGCAAUGCUGGAAGGCUACAGGCAGGACCCAUGGGGUUAGGACCUACAAGUUAAAGCCCCCCAAACUGCCCUGAGGGGAAAAAAGGGGGGGUCAGGGCAGCUUGGCUGCUCUUGGGGCACGUGGUUUCUCUUGACCCCUGCUUUCCCAGCCUCACCCACCACAACGUGCUGCCCCAUCCUUUCUGCUGCCACGCUGGG